ACAAGCCAGCAGCUUGAGGCUUGAAAUAGAACAGAAAGGGAAUUCACAGGACUCAACCUUGUCUUCUGUCUGGAGCUCUUGAGACCCAAGGAUACUGGCCAGGCGAACCACACUGCGAUAAGAAACAGCAGCUGAAAGUUUGUUUUUGGAGCCACCAGAUCCAGUGGGUGGACUGUGUCUUGAAAUAGAAGCAUCUCAAAGGCCUGUGAAUCAUUUCUUAGUGCCGGCCUGCAAGGUUUCAUAUCCUGUUCUCAGAGCUACCUUGGGUGCUGUAUGUAUAUCUGGAAGAAUUUUUCAAAUGGUUUUUGCGAGAAAGUUCAAACCCUGGAAUGACUAAGUCGCUGGAAGAAUUUGGACUUUGUGAGGGGAAUUUGCACUUGGUAUGAAUCACCCAGUCACUGAUUCCUGCAGUGAGAAGACCUUUCGGAAAGCUUCUGGGUCAGCCCCCUCGUACACAUGGGGAAACCGAGGCUCAAGGAGGGGAAGGACUUCAGCCAAGGUCCCACAGCAUGUCUGUGGAAAUGACAGGACUGGAAUCAGGUCUAGCUCCUGGAACAGCUUUGGAUUUGCAAGAAGCUCUCAAGCACCCAGUCUCCAUAGGUGGGCACAUUUUCCAAACAGUAGAGGAACAGAAAGAACAAGAGGGUUCUGAGGAGUUAGAACUCACCAUAGAGUUAUGGAAGGAAUGGGGAAGGGAUUGCCGGAAGGUAUUUUAUAUGAAAUAGCUCAUUUAAUCCUCCCCAGGAUCCUAUUAGGCAGUGGUUCUAAACUAGGGUUGAUUUUGCCCCCAGAGGACAUUUGGCAAGAUCAGGGGACAUUUUAGGUUUGUCACAGCUUGAGUGGGAGUUGCUACUGGCAUCUCUUGGCAGUGAAUACCCUAUGUGGUAGAGGCCAGGGAUACCGCUAAACAUCCUGCAAUGCACAGGACAGCCUCACAACAAAGAAUUAUCCAGCCCAAAAUGUCAAUAGUGUUGGGUCUGAGAAGCCCUGCUAUGCAGAGGGCGCUUGUAUAUACAUAUCAAUUUAACAGCCAAGAAAGCCGAGGCUCAGAAAGUGUAGCCACUCGCUAGCCACGUGGUCUUGGGCAAAUUAGCCUCUCUGUGUCUCAGUUUCCUUAUCUGUAAAAUGGAGGCAACAGUACCUCUGUUACCUAAAUAAACAUUUGUAAAGCACUUAGAA